CUUCCUACUCCCUCAUCCUUGCCCGCUUCUCCUUCAGGACUCAGCCCACUCUCUCCGGCCGACAGAAGAGGCAGCUACAGGAAAAGCUGGAUUAUGUGCAGGAGGUGGUGAAGACAAAGAAGAAGAAGCUCUAUGAGGAAUACCUUCGCCAGAGUGUGGGUGAUCAAGAUAUGGACUGAAAGGAAAUGGAGGAAACCACUGAUGUACCACUUAACAUUCCUACUGUAGAGGACCAAAUGUAAUGUAGGGUUUAAACUGUUCAGGCUUUACCUUCCUGGCCAUGCCUUAUGGUGCAUUCAUGACAAUUCUGAAACUCAAGAGUUAAAAUGAACAUAAGUUAUUUGUGUAGAGUUAUUUGUUCAAUGUCAGUCAUGGAGGGCCAAAGCACUUCUGGUUUUCAUCCUUCUAAUCAGAGACUGAUUCAGACCUGGGACACCAGGUGAGUGCAAUUAACUACCAGGUAGAAACAAAAGGGUUUCGGCCCUCCAGGACUGUAAUUGAACGUCCCUGACGUACAGCUUCCUAUUGGUUGAUUCUUAUUCUUUCCAAGUGGGAAAACUCUGGCCUCCUCUUUCUGCAAUGAAUGUCCAAGUAGAGAAUGUCUGAAUUUCCGAGUUGUCUUGAACGCACCAUUUACGUGUCCCUCCGGAGUACGCAGGGCGACAUGGGAAAUGUAAUCCUUGUCCACGUGUUGUCAGUCCAAUAUCUGUUCAUUCAUGUAGUUGUAAACCAUAGAUCGCCUCAAUUUCUAAUAUGAGCAUUCAGAACCUAACUCUGACACGCACUGUAAUAUUCAUUUCCCAAUAUUUUUCACUACCAUGUUACCUGAUAGGUAGAUUUUAAAAACAACAAACAUCAUGGGACCUGUAUUUUUGUAUGAGAUUAGAUACGGUUUACAAACUACAUUUUGAAUUGAACAAAGCAUUUAUAUAUGUUUUUACAAUGUUUGUAUACA